UACGGGGGGGGCAAGCGUUGUUCGGAAUUACUGGGCGUAAAGGGCUCGUAGGCGGCCAACUAAGUCAGACGUGAAAUCCCUCGGCUUAACCGGGGAACUGCGUCUGAUACUGGAUGGCUUGAAUCCGGGAGAGGGAUGCGGAAUUCCAGGUGUAGCGGUGAAAUGCGUAGAUAUCUGGAGGAACACCGGUGGCGAAGGCGGCAUCCUGGACCGGUAUUGACGCUGAUGAGCGAAAGCCAGGGGAGCAAACGGG
rnacentral:rRNA from 1 species